rnacentral:rRNA from 1 species
CAGGAAGAAACAGUUGUGCUUAGAAACCAAACUGCUUCCAUAAGCUAGAGCACUGUUCUAAUACAACGGUUCCGGAGAAUGAUAGAGAUGAACGCAGCAAUUGCGUGUUCCUCCCAAGAGGUAGAUCAAUGCUUUCGCAUUACCAUUGUUUGUGAAGAUUUCUUGAGUAGAAUAAUAAAGACUGCAGGAAAAAUAUUCCAACUACAAAGCUCC